rnacentral:RNase_P_RNA from 2 species
AUCGGUCAAAGUUUGCGUUGAGGCUUAGACAAAAUUGUUAUUCGUAAGAGUAGCAACAUAUUUAGACAGUGAAGCCUGAGAAGGUCUGAGUUGCCGUCAAUUCGAAACGUGAAUGCACGAGAGUGCAGAGGUGGCUACCAGAAAAAUAAACAAGCGAUAGGAUAUAGUAGAAGAAGGUAUUUGGUUGAAAUAAAGUAAGCCUAAUUACCUGAUACUCUCUAUCGAUUUGUGUGGAAUGGCUACUUGGCAGUGCAUAUUAAGUACAAUACGCGAAUUUCUAAUCCAGAAAAAUCCAAUUCAGACUACUCUUGACACGAA